rnacentral:rRNA from 1 species
AAGCGGCAACAGCUUCAAAUUUGAAAUCUGGCUUCGGCCCGAGUUGUAAUUUGUAGAGGAUGCUUUUGGUGAGGUGCCUUCUGAGUUCCCUGGAACGGGACGCCAGAGAGGGUGAGAGCCCCGUAUAGUCGGCCACCGAUCCUUUGUAAAGCUCCUUCGACGAGUCGAGUAGUUUGGGAAUGCUGCUCUAAAUGGGAGGUAUAUCUCUUCUAAAGCUAAAUAUUGGCCAGAGACCGAUAGCGCACAAGUAGAGUGAUCGAAAGAUGAAAAGCACUUUGAAAAGAGGGUUAAAUAGCACGUGAAAUUGUUGAAAGGGAAGCGCUUGUGACCAGACUUGUGCCGGGCUGAUCAUCCAGUGUUCUCACUGGUGCACUCGACCCGGCUCAGGCCAGCGUCGGUUCUCGUAGGGGGAUAAAAGCUUCGGGAACGUGGCACCUUCGGGUGUGUUAUAGCCCGUUGCUUAAUACC